UGAUAGCUUUACCAAACGUCAGAUUUGA
rnacentral:piRNA from 1 species